UGCCUGAUAGCACAAUGGUAGUGCACGGCACUGUUAAUGCUGGGGUUGUAGGUUCGAGUCCUACUCAGGCAG
rnacentral:tRNA from 1 species